rnacentral:rRNA from 11 species
UGAGCCGCAGUGAAUAGGCCCAAGCGACUGUUUAUCAAAAACACAGGUGCGUGCGAAGCCGUAAGGCGAUGUAUACGCACUGACGCCUGCCCGGUGCUGGAAGGUUAAGAGGAAGACUCAACCACACUCGUGUGUGGUGAAGGUUUGAAUUUAAGCCCCAGUAAACGGCGGUGGUAACUAUAACCAUCCUAAGGUAGCGAAAUUCCUUGU